rnacentral:rRNA from 1 species
ACGCUUGAAGUCAGUCGCGCCGUUCGGGAUUCAGCCUUGCUUCUGCUUGGUUUACUUCCCGUUGGGUGGGUCAACAUCAGUUUCGGUCGGAGGAGAAAGGCUUGGGGAAGGUGGCAGCAUUCGUGCUGUGUUAUAGCCCCUUGUUGUAUACUUCGACUGGGACUGAGGACCGCAGCACGCCUUUGGCCGGGGUUCGCCCACGUACGUGCUUAGGAUGUUGGCAUAAUGGCUUUAAGCGACCCGUCUUGAAACACGGACCAAGGAGUC